AGUGAACGCUGGCGGUAGGCCUAACACAUGCAAGUCGAACGGAAGCACAGUAAGAGCUUGCUCUUACGGGUGGCGAGUGGCGGACGGGUGAGGAAUAGAUCGGAAUCUACUUUUUCGUGGGGGAUAACGUAGGGCAACUUACGCUAAUACCGCAUACGAUCUACGGGUGAAAUCAGUAGAGAUUCGGGCCUUGGGCGAUUGAUAGAGACGGAGUCGGAUUGGCUAGUUGGCGGGGUAAAGGCCCACCAAGGCAACGAUCCGUAGCGGAUCUGAGAGGAUGAUCGGCCACACUGGAACUGAGACACGGUCCAGACUCCUACGGGAGGCAGCAGUAGGGAAUCUUGGACAAUGGGCGAAAGCCUGAUCCAGCAAUGCCGCGUGGGUGAAGAAGGCCUUCGGAUCGUAAAGCCCUUUUGUUGGGGAAGAAAAGAUGCAGGUUUAUCCCUGCAUGUUCUGACGGUACCUAAAGAAAAAGCACCGGCUAACUUCGUG
rnacentral:rRNA from 1 species